GACCCUGUCUCCAGUGGGCGUCUUGGGCCCCGGCUCUAUUCUGGGCUGCGGGCCUGGGAAGGGCUCGCCGGGUGCCAAAUGAGCUGUCCUAACUCUGCGGGGCUGCAGCUUCCUGCAUGAUGCUGGGGAGCUUGGCGCCUGACCCAGGAUCUAGAAGGCACUCUGGGCAGGCCGCGCUCCGCCCACGAAGGUUUAACCACCAAGGACUCUGAGAGCUGGCAGAUAAACUGCCAGGGAGAAGAAUGAGAAGACAGGAGACAAACUGUUUGGAAAGCUAAAUCUUCCCUCUUAAUGAAUAAAGGUUUUUGCCUUGUCUUAAA
rnacentral:lncRNA from 1 species